rnacentral:rRNA from 1 species
GACGAACGCUGGCGGCGUGCUUAACACAUGCAAGUCGAACGGAAAGGCCCCUUUGGGGGUACUCGAGUGGCGAACGGGUGAGUAACACGUGAGUAACCUGCCCUUGACUUCGGGAUAACUUCAGGAAACUGGGGCUAAUACCGGAUAGGAAUCCUUGCUGCAUGGUGGGGGUUGGAAAGCUUCGGCGGUUUUGGAUGGACUCGCGGCUUAUCAGCUUGUUGGUGGGGUAGUGGCUUACCAAGGCUUUUACGGGUAGCCGGCCUGAGAGGGCGACCGGCCACAUUGGGACUGAGAUACGGCCCAGACGCCUACGGGAGGCAGCAGUGGGGAAUAUUGCACAAUGGGCGGAAGCCUGAUGCAGCAACGCCGCGUGCGGGAGGACGGCCUUCGGGUUGUAAACCGCUUUCAGCAGGGGCGAAGCUUGUGGUGACGGUACCUGCAGAAGAAGCACCGGCUAACUACGUG